rnacentral:rRNA from 1 species
GGUCUGGGAUGGGCUCGCGGCCUAUCAGCUUGUUGGUGAGGUAAUGGCUCACCAAGGCGUCGACGGGUAGCCGGCCUGAGAGGGUGACCGGCCACACUGGGACUGAGACACGGCCCAGACUCCUACGGGAGGCAGCAGUGGGGAAUAUUGCACAAUGGGCGGAAGCCUGAUGCAGCAACGCCGCGUGAGGGAUGACGGCCUUCGGGUUGUAAACCUCUUUUAGCAGGGAAGAAGCGAAAGUGACGGUACCUGCAGAAAAAGCGCCGGCUAACUACGUGCCAGCAGCCGCGGUAAUACGUAGGGCGCAAGCGUUAUCCGGAAUUAUUGGGCGUAAAGAGCUCGUAGGCGGUUUGUCGCGUCUGCUGUGAAAUCCCGAGGCUCAACCUCGGGCCUGCAGUGGGUACGGGCAGACUAGAGUGCGGUAGGGGAGAUUGGAAUUCCUGGUGUAGCGGUGGAAUGCGCAGAUAUCAGGAGGAACACCGAUGGCGAAGGCAGAUCUCUGGGCCGUAACUGACGCUGAGGAGCGAAAGGGUGGGGAGCGAACAGGCUUAGAUACCCUGGUAGUCCACCCCGUAAACGUUGGGAACUAGUUGUGGGGUCCAUUCCACGGAUUCCGUGACGCAGC